AUAUGUAAUGAUGAACAACUUUAUUUAACAGUUAUCCCUGUCAUAAAACUAAUUGAUGAUUAAAUAAGCUGAUACAUAU